GGGACCUGCCCGAAACGCUACGCGUACUAGUGGCUGUACAAGAAUGUAACAACUCUUGAAUAAUCAAGCAUACCUUUGACUUUAAGGAAAAGGACGUAGUAAUUCAA